rnacentral:rRNA from 1 species
GAUGAACGCUGGCGGCGUGCCUAAUACAUGCAAGUCGAGCGAACGGACGAGAAGCUUGCUUCUCUGAUGUUAGCGGCGGACGGGUGAGUAACACGUGGAUAACCUACCUAUAAGACUGGGAUAACUUCGGGAAACCGGAUCUAAUACCGGAUGAUAUUUUGAACCGCAUGGUUCAAAAGUGAAAGACGGUCUUGCUGUCACUUAUAGAUGGAUCCGCGCUGCAUUAGCUAGUUGGUAAGGUAACGGCUUACCAAGGCAACGAUGCAUAGCCGACCUGAGAGAGUGAUCGUCCACACUGGAACGGAGACACGGUCCAGACUCCUACGGGAGGCAGCAGUAGGGAAUCUUCCGCAAUGGGCGAGAGCCUGACGGAGCAACGCCGCGUGAGUGAUGAAGGUCUUCGGAUCGGAAAACUCUGUUAUUAGGGAAGAACAUAUGUGUAAGUAGCUGUGCACAUCUUGACGGUACCUAAUCAGAAAGCCACGGCUAACUACGUG